rnacentral:rRNA from 1 species
CCUACGGGGGGCUGCAGUGAGGAAUAUUGGUCAAUGGGCGGAAGCCUGAACCAGCCAAGUAGCGUGCAGGAUGACGGCCCUACGGGUUGUAAACUGCUUUUAUACGGGAAUAACGCGCCUUACGUGUAGGGCUUUGCAUGUACCGUAUGAAUAAGGACCGGCUAAUUCCGUGCCAGCAGCCGCGGUAAUACGGAAGGUCCGGGCGUUAACCGGAUUUAUUUGGUUUAAGGGGAGCGUAGGCCGCAUGUCAAGCGUGCUGUGAAAUUGACGGGCUCAACCCGGGCCUUGCAGCGGGAACGGGCGUGCUUGAGUCCGCGGAAAGCAGGCGGAAUUCGUGGUGUAGCGGUGAAAUGCUUAGAUAUGACGAAGAACCCCGAUUGCGAAGGCAGCUUGCUGCAGCGGAACUGACGCUGAUGCUCGAAAGCGCGGGUAUCGAACAGGAUUAGAUACCCGAGUAGUC